UAGCACCGGGUACUUCUCGGCAAGUAA
rnacentral:ncRNA from 2 species